rnacentral:rRNA from 1 species
GAUUGCGAUCAUACCAGCACUAAUGCACAGGAUCCCAUCAGAACUCCGCUGUUAACCGUGCUUGUGCGAGAGUAGUACUAGGAUGGGUGACCCCCUGGGAAGUCCUCGUGUUGCAUCCCC